rnacentral:rRNA from 1 species
UACGUAGGUGGCAAGCGUUGUCCGGAUUUACUGGGCGUAAAGAGCGCGCAGGCGGUCGGAUAAGUCGAAUGUGAAAGCCCCCGGCUCAACUGGGGAGGGUCAUUCGAUACUGUUCGACUCGAAGGCAGGAGAGGGGAGUGGAAUUCCCGGUGUAGUGGUGAAAUGCGCAGAUAUCAGGAAGAACAGCCCGUGGCGAAGGCGGCUCUCGUGGGACGGUACUGA